AAUAAAUGAUGACAAAAUGUUUCGGUCCCAGAUGAUGUCCGAUGAUAAAACUUAACAUUUUCUGAUGUU